rnacentral:rRNA from 1 species
CACGUAGGGGCCAAGCGUUGUCCGGAUUUAUUGGGCGUAAAGAGCUCGUAGGCGGUUCGACAAGUCGGGUGUGAAAACUCCGGGCUCAACCCGGAGACGCCACCCGAUACUGUCGUGACUGGAGUCCGGUAGGGGAGUGGGGAAUUCCUGGUGUAGCGGUGAAAUGCGCAGAUAUCAGGAGGAACACCGGUGGCGAAGGCGGCUCUCUGGACCGAGACUGACGCUGAGGCGCGAAAGCGUGGGGAGCAAACAGG